GACGAACGCUGGCGGCGUGCUUAACACAUGCCAGUCGAACGGAAAGGCCCUGCUUUUGUGGGGUGCUCGAGUGGCGAAAGGGUGAGUAACACGUGAGUAACCUGCCCUUGACUUUGGGAUAACUUCAGGAAACUGGGGCUAAUACCGGAUAGGAGCUCCUGCUGCAUGGUGGGGGUUGGAAAGUUUCGGCGGUUGGGGAUGGACUCGCGGCUUAUCAGCUUGUUGGUGGGGUAGUGGCUUACCAAGGCUUUGACGGGUAGCCGGCAUGAGAGGGUGACCGGCCACAUUGGGACUGAGAUACGGCCCAGACUCCUACGGGAGGCAGCAGUGGGGAAUAUUGCACAAUGGGCGGAAGCCUGAUGCAGCAACGCCGCGUGCGGGAUGACGGCCUUCGGGUUGUAAACCGCUUUCGCCUGUGACGAAGCGUGAGUGACGGUAAUGGGUAAAGAAGCACCGGCUAACUACGUG
rnacentral:rRNA from 1 species